rnacentral:rRNA from 1 species
UGGGGAAUUUUGGACAAUGGGCGAAAGCCUGAUCCAGCAAUGCCGCGUGUGUGAAGAAGGCCUUCGGGUUGUAAAGCACUUUUGUCCGGAAAGAAAUCCUUGGCUCUAAUACAGUCGGGGGAUGACGGUACCGGAAGAAUAAGCACCGGCUAACUACGUGCCAGCAGCCGCGGUAAUACGUAGGGUGCAAGCGUUAAUCGGAAUUACUGGGCGUAAAGCGUGCGCAGGCGGUUUGCUAAGACCGAUGUGAAAUCCCCGGGCUCAACCUGGGAACUGCAUUGGUGACUGGCAGGCUAGAGUAUGGCAGAGGGGGGUAGAAUUCCACGUGUAGCAGUGAAAUGCGUAGAGAUGUGGAGGAAUACCGAUGGCGAAGGCAGCCCCCUGGGCCAAUACUGACGCUCAUGCACGAAAGCGUGGGGAGCAAACAGGAUUAGAUACCCUGGUAGUCCACGCCCUAAACGAUGUCAACUAGUUGUUGGGGAUUCAUUCCUUAGUAACGUAGCUAACGCGUGAAGUUGACCGCCUGGGGAGUGCGGUCGCAAGAUUAAAACUUAAAGGAAUUGACGGGGUCAUAGCUGUUUCCU